UACGGGGGGGGCAAGCGGUUGUUCGGAAUUACUGGGCGUAAAGGGCUCGUAGGCGGCCAACUAAGUCGGAUGUGAAAUCCCCAGGCUUAACCUGGGAAUUGCAUCCGAUACUGGAUGGCUUGAAUCCGGGAGAGGGAUGCGGAAUUCCAGGUGUAGCGGUGAAAUGCGUAGAUAUCUGGAGGAACACCGGUGGCGAAGGCGGCAUCCUGGACCGGCAUUGACGCUGAGGAGCGAAAGCCAGGGGAGCAAACGGG
rnacentral:rRNA from 1 species